rnacentral:rRNA from 1 species
UACGGAGGGAGCUAGCGUUGUUCGGAAUUAUUGGGCGUAAAGAGCUCGUAGGCGGUUUGUCGCGUCUGCUGUGAAAACUCGGGGCUUAACUCCGGGCCUGCAGUGGGUACGGGCAGACUAGAGUGCGGUAGGGGAGACUGGAAUUCCUGGUGUAGCGGUGGAAUGCGCAGAUAUCAGGAGGAACACCGAUGGCGAAGGCAGGUCACUGGGCCGCAACUGACGCUGAGGAGCGAAAGCAUGGGGAGCGAACAGG